rnacentral:tRNA from 1 species
GGGAAUAUAGCUCAAUUGGUAGAGUGCUUGCCUAGCAUGCGUGAGGCCUUGGGUUCAAUCCCUAGCACUACUA